rnacentral:rRNA from 1 species
AAUAUUGGACAAUGGGCGAAAGCCUGAUCCAGCCAUGCCGCGUGUGUGAAGAAGGUCUUUGGAUUGUAAAACACUUUAAGUUGGGAGGCAAGGCUGUAAGUUAAUCACUUGCUGGUUUGACCUUUCCGCCUGAAUCAGCGCCGGUUUACUUCGUGCCAGCAGCCGCGGUAAUACGAAGGGUGCAAGCGUUAAUCGGAAUUAUCGGGCGUACAGCGCGCGUAGGUGGUUUGUUAAGUUGGAAGUGAAAGCCCCGGGCUCAACCUGGGAACUGCUUUAAAAACUGGCAAGCUAGAGUAUGGCAGAGGGUGGUGGAAUUUCCUGUGUAGCGGUGAAAUGCGUAGAUAUAGGAAGGAACACCAGUGGCGAAGGCGACCACCUGGGCUAGUACUGACACUGAGGUGCGAAAGCGUGGGGAGCAAAC